CGCUCACUGUGCGGGUAUAUGACAGUGAUCUCAGCAAAGUUGUCCACAGGUUCCUGGAUAUGUGCCCCACCAGCGGGCCAAACUGCGGCACAGCUGAAGUCAUCUACAAGAAGAUGGAUGAGGCCAUGCAGAAAAACGCCAUACCAUGGAGAAACUGUGUCAGUCUGUCAGUUGAUAAUGCCCCUGUCAAUACAGGAGCAAGGGACUCCAUCGCAUCCAGAGCUCAUCAAGAACAUGGCAGUAUCUACAUCCAUGGGUGCCCUUGUCACCCAUGGAUGUAGGAUCUCGCUGUGGAUGUUGGAUAUAGGUUUAAAGGAAGCACCAAUCGCAAAGGUUACCUAACAGAAUUCUGUGAGCUCCAUGGAAGUGAGUAUAUGGAAAUGCUCAUGCACGUUUCUGUUCGAUGGUUGAGCCUGGAGAAGUGUUUGACUCGUAUCCUGCAGCAGUAUGAGCCACUGGCCAGCUACUUCAAGUCAUUAAAUGACAAACAGCCAAGGUUCAGGAGGCUUGUGGAGGCAUUCUCUGACUCAAUUACAGAGGUGUACCUACUGUUCUUUCAAGCAACUUUUCCAGUCUUCUCCACAUUCAACCUCCUCCUCCAGAGAGAGAAGUCGUCAAUCUUCCUACUACAUGAUGAGAUGAGGGGUUUUAUCCGCAAGCUGCUCUCAAAGUUUCUGAAGCCCGCAGCAUUGCAGCACCGGGAACUGCAUGAAAUAUGCUUUAAGGAGCCAUCCAACCAACUGCCAGGUGAUUACUAA
rnacentral:lncRNA from 1 species